AUCGAACGCUGGCGGCAGGCCUAACACAUGCAAGUCGAGCGAGCGGCGGACGGGUGAGUAAUGUAUGGGCACUGCCCGAUAGAGGGGGAUAUCUACUGGAAACGGUGGCUAAUACCGCUUACUAUCGGAUACCCCAUAUGGGAUUAGCUAGUAGGUGGGGUAUUGGCUCACCUAGGCGACGAUCUCUAGCUGGUCUGAGAGGAUGUUCAUCACCUCAGGAACGUAGCAAUGGGCAAGACUCCUACGGGGGCAGCAGUGUGGACUAUUGCACAAUUGGCGCAAUCCUGAUGCAUCCAUGCCGCGUGUAUGGAGAAGGCCUUAGGGUUGUAAAGUACAUUCAGCAGGAAGGCGUUACCCGCGGAAGAAGCCCAGGCUAGCUCCGUAGCAGCAGCCGCGGUAAUAC
rnacentral:rRNA from 1 species